rnacentral:rRNA from 1 species
AUUGAACGCUGGCGGCAGGCCUAACACAUGCAAGUCGAGCGGCAGCGCGGGGCAACCUGGCGGCGAGCGGCGAACGGGUGAGUAAUGUAUCGGAACGUGUCCUGUCGUGGGGGAUAGCCCGGUGAAAACCGGAUUAAUACCGCAUACGAUCGAGAGAUGAAAGUGGGGGACCGCAAGGCCUCACGCGAUAUGAUCGGCCGAUAUCUGAUUAGCUAGUUGGUGGGGUAAAGGCCCACCAAGGCGACGAGCAGUAGCUGGUCUGAGAGGAUGAUCAGCCACACUGGGACUGAGACACGGCCCAGACUCCUACGGGAGGCAGCAGUGGGGAAUUUUGGACAAUGGGGGCAACCCUGAUCCAGCCAUUCCGCGUGAGUGAAGAAGGCCUUCGGGUUGUAAAGCUCUUUUGUCCGGGAAGAAACGGUUUCACCUAAUACGUGAGACUACUGACGGUACCGGAAGAAUAAGGACCGGCUAACUACGUGCCAGCCGCCGCAGUAACAC